UUCCAUGUUUGUUUAUAAGGGAAGUUGGAGUACAGACCCCAGGGAAAGACGCUUUUCUGUUACUCUGUUCUGCCCUUCACUCCUGCUCUGCAUCAUGCAUCCAUCAUUUUUCCAAGCAGACAUUGGUUUGGUGCAGCUUUGAACAAAACAAGAGCAAACAAAACCCAACAGUGCUGAAUGCUGCACCCUUGCUGCAUGGUGGAAGUAACUUGAGUUUACUGAGAGUUUCAGAGUUCAGCCUUGUAGUACAUCUUCUCUAACAUGAGACUUGAUCAGCUUGCUUUCAUAGCCACAUAUAGGGAAACGAAAAUAGAAGUUGCUUGAAUCCUGUUAGCUCUUCUGGCAAGAAGCAGGACAUCAGUGACUUGCUAGCUGAGAGCGAGAAGCAAUCUGUAGUGUCCCAUGACUCUGCUGGAUGAACAGUGUGGUCACAGUGACUUUUGGAGCGACGGUCACUGCUGGAGUUAAAGGAAGUUUUGGUUCCCAAAACCAGAAAGAGGGAAGUGGAGGAGGGAGCAGCUUGAGAACUAUCACAAGAAUGUGAUAAGGAAGGGAAGAACUACACACGUGAGAGGUGAUGCCAAGGAGUAAGAUCUGAGUUCCUAUUGUACUGGAAUUUCUGCAUGAAAACAAAUUUGCCUGAGUAUUUUUACUAAACCCUGAAAGCUUGAGCACAGACAA